rnacentral:sRNA from 1 species
GCCAGGCAUGGUGAUGCACACCAGUAAUCCCAGCUACUCGGGAGGCUGAGAUGGGAGGAUUGCGAGUUCAAGGCCAGCCUGGGCAGCAUAGUUAGAUCCCAUCUUGA